rnacentral:rRNA from 1 species
GACGAACGCUGGCGGCGUGCUUAACACAUGCAAGUCGAACGAAGUGGCGAACGGGUGAGUAACGCGUAAUCAACCUGCCCUUCAGAGGGGGACAACAGUUGGAAACGACUGCUAAUACCGCAUACUGAAGGCGGGGAUUGCGUCUGAUUAGCUAGUGGGAGGGGGAACGGCCCACCAGGGCGAUGAUCAGUAGCCGGGCUGAAGGGGUGAAUGGGCAAAUUGGGACUGGGCACAGGCCCGGACUCCUACGGGAGGCAGCAGGGGGGAAUCUGCCGCAAUGGAAGAAAGUCUGACGGAGCAACGCCGCGGGAGUGAUGACGGCCUUCGGGUUGUAAAGCUCUGUUAAUCGGGACGCGGUACCGGAAUAGAAAGCCACGGCUAACUACGUGCCAGCCGCCGCGGUAAUUC